CUGCUGAGGCGGAGGAGAGGAGGAUUUAAGGACUGUGGGUUUCUCUUCUGGCUCGACUGAAGGGAAGAGAUUUAACUCCAGUGAGUACGAACAGACACUCUCUGCGUAGGAUCAUCAUGCCGAGCAUAAACUGGACUUUCCCACUUGCCUGGCAGGAGUCAGACAGAUCCCUGUGUGCUAAAUGAGCAUCUGAGCCUGACUAUGGGAGAUCCAACUCGUUUGACUCUGACUUCUCCUUGAGAAAUAGUGACAACAAAAAGACACUACUUCCCUCUGAAUCAGUCCAGGUAAUG